CGCUGGACUUGACCGGGAGCCAGGCACUCCCUGUGACCCGUGCCUAAAUGCGGGGGCGACUGCCCGGUGAGGGCAACCAGGCCUUUGGCAGUCUCCAUGGAAUCGUUGAAUCUCUGUCCUUUUGGAUCGGGGUUUAUACAUGCAUACUCAAAGGAGAAUGCAUGUAUAAUUUGCUGAAAAACCCGCCAGGCCCGGAAGGGAGCAACGGUAUUUCAGACCGCCGAUGCUGAGAGGGUGCGGGGAGGAGAGGAAGUGGAGGGCACUACCAAAACACCUGGUCUGAUCCGGGUGUGUCCAGCA
rnacentral:SRP_RNA from 1 species